AACCAGCACCUCAAGUGGUCAGGAUGAUUAUUGGGCCUAAAGCAUCCGUAGCCGGCUCUGUAAGUUUUCGGUUAAAUCUGUACGCUUAACGUACAGGCUGCCGGGAAUACUGCAGAGCUAGGGAGUGGGAGAGGUAGACGGUACUCGGUAGGAAGGGGUAAAAUCCUUUGAUCUAUUGAUGACCACCUGUGGCGAAGGCGGUCUACCAGAACACGUCCGACGGUGAGGGAUGAAAGCUGGGGGAGCAAACCGGAUUAGAUACCCGGGUAGUCCCAGCUGUAAACUAUGCAAACUCAGUGAUGCAUUGGCUUGUGGCCAAUGCAGUGCUGCAGGGAAGCCGUUAAGUUUGCCGCCUGGGAAGUACGUACGCAAGUAUGAAACUUAAAGGAAUUGGCGGGGGAGCACCACAAGGGGUGAAGCCUGCGGUUCAAUUGGAGUCAACGCCAGAAAUCUUACCCGGAGAGACAGCAGAAUGAAGGUCAAGCUGAAGACUUUACCAGACAAGCUGAGAGGUGGUGCAUGGCCGUCGCCAGCUCGUGCCGUGAGAUGUCCUGUUAAGUCAGGUAACGAGCGAGAUCCCUGCCUCUAGUUGCCACCAUUGCUCUCAGGAGCAGUGGGGCGAAUUAGCGGGACCGCCGCAGUUAAUGCGGAGGAAGGAAGGGGCCACGGCAGGUCAGUAUGCCCCGAAACUCUGGGGCCACACGCGGGCUGCAAUGGUAACGACAAUUGGUUUCAAAUCCGAAAGGAUGAGGUAAUCCACAAACGUUACCACAGUUAUGACUGAGGGCUGCAACUCGCCCUCACGAAUAUGGAAUCCCUAGUAACUGCGUGUCACUAUCGCGCGGUGAAUACGUCCCUGCUCCU
rnacentral:rRNA from 1 species